CGAACGCUGGCGGCGUGCUUAACACAUGCAAGUCGAACGGAAAGGCCCCGCUUUUGUGGGGUGCUCGAGUGACGAACGGGUGAGUAACACGUGAGUAACCUGCCCCUGACUUUGGGAUAACUUCAGGAAACUGGGGCUAAUACCGGAUAGGAGCUCCUGCUGCAUGGUGGGGGUUGGAAAGUUUCGGCGGUUGGGGAUGGACUCGCGGCUUAUCAGCUUGUUGGUGGGGUAGUGGCUUACCAAGGCUUUGACGGGUAGCCGGCCUGAGAGGGUGACCGGCCACAUUGGGACUGAGAUACGGCCCAGACUCCUACGGGAGGCAGCAGUGGGGAAUAUUGCACAAUGGGCGGAAGCCUGAUGCAGCAACGCCGCGUGCGGGAUGACGGCCUUCGGGUUGUAAACCGCUUUCGCCUGUGACGAAGCGUGAGUGACGGUAAUGGGUAAAGAAGCACCGGCUAACUACGUG
rnacentral:rRNA from 1 species